CAUGUAUCUGAGUUUCCUAUCAAUACAAUUCUAGCAUGGAUAAUAAAAGAUUAUCAUGAACAAGGAAAUAUAAUGAUAACCAAUUUAUUAUUGCCUCUAGGGCAUAUUUCCAACAUAAUUGUCUUUGAUCAGAGCCUCUUCUUCGGAUCCCCUAUUUUGGAAAUCAUAAUUCCCUUUGCAUUCGAGCUUUGAAUUAGUCAGUUGUUUCUAUAGUUUGAUAUCAUUGCAUUCUUUCUUCCUCUGGUUGAGUACCUAUGCUCACAUCAGAUCCCUUGUGAACCACCAGAUCCUUUGUGGGGUUCUAUCCGACAGCAUCCUUCAUAUGCAGUAACCUUGUGAGCUUUUCCUCGGAUACAUAAUGGUAAAUUGUAUCUUCUGCUUCCUCAAUCAUGCUCUACUCCGAGCUUGAGUUAUCUACUCAUGAAGUUUGACUCUACAACUUCGUCAAAGACGAGAAGUAAAUGGAAGGUUAUGCAGUGAUGAAGUGGGAGUCCCUUGAACCUUUGUGUUCAUGCCCAUGGACCCGAUGUGGAACUUAUCAUGGAAGCUUCUUGUUAUAAUAUUAAUCCCCUUGUGAUAAGUUCAUCUUGUAUCUAUGUUUGGUCCUUUGCAACCGUGGUUCCGGCCAUAUUUUUCUUCUUUGAUACCAUUUCUUGGACUAGUUAAAAUACUUGUCUUCUGCAGAUCCUUCCAUCUGUCCAACCUCUAUCAUGUUCUACCUUCGAGUAUUACCCUUUGGUAUCUCGAGAAUAUCACAGAAUUACGUAGCUUCUUAUGAGUUCCUCAUCAACUAUUAUUUCUCGUCGAUUUAAUUUUUCCAUGGUUUCUGAGUUGUUAGACACUCGAGAACGCCAUAACUGAUUUGAGUCUAAACUUGUUUAACCUUUCUUGUAACUAACAUACUUGAGCAGUGAUAAUUACCUGCUUAUGUAACACCUCGGUGUACAAACUCUGUCAGUAAGAACUUGUUACUAUUGUUGAUGACAUUUCGGUAGCCACCGAUGGACGAGAACUUUGCCUAUGGGUCCGCCUCGUCUUAACGAGCAGGAAAAUGGUUCACUUCAUCCCUCGCCCUUGGUAACGACGUUGUUGCCAACAUAAUUGACAGGUCAUCCUUUAACCUACCUUGCUAUCAUGACCUUGCAAUAUGUUAGCGCCUUCCUGCUUUUAACCCACAUGGUGGGCCCAUAACCCACAGUUCCACAGGAUCGAAACCUGACUCUCUUGUAAAUCCCUGUCUUCCAAAAUUGUUUCUCACGCUUGACUUCGUAUGUAAUUCACGAGCCACCUUCUUGUGAUAUGUUCUGGUAUCAGAUGCAAUACUUAUUCUCGAUGCUUUGAACCCCUUUCACACUCUGUUUCAGACAUCGAACGAUUGCCUACCCGCUUAAAUCUUCUUAUUGCACCUUCUUACCUUGCUCUCAAUGACUUUCUUGAAUUCCAACUCGAGAGAUGCCUCUAUGCCACGUUCAUUGAGAUAGCCCCCAGGUACCUAUCUUGUGUUGAGCUCCGUCUUUCCCGAGUCUUUCCCCCUUACUCCACCCUUUAAAUCUCGGGACAAGAUUUCUUGUGGUGGAGGAGAAUUGUGAUGCCCGGAUAAUUAAGCUACAGUAAUUCUCUACUAAUGAUGCCAUGUCAUCACAUUACUGUUGCUAAUCCUCGCUUGAUCCAAAUCUUAGUUCAAACUCAAAUUCAAAUAAAGUCAAAAAUUCAAAUUUGUCCAACAUGAAAACUAAAAUGUUCAAAGUGUGGCAAAUAAUCCCUGGAUAUUUUUCAUGUUGGAACUAACCUCUUUUGGUUUCCCAAAGUGACCCUCGAAAUUAUUUAGUGGUCCAGUAGCAAUUUAAAUUGUCCUUUUCAAUUUCUAAAAAUGGUUAGACAACUCCUUUUUGCCUCAAACUUUUUGUGACUCCUACAAAUAAUGUGUUUGAUUUAUGUGACAAGUCUCGUAUCUAACAAAACUCUUUUAGUCUUGCAAUUAAAUAGAAAACAGUAGUUAAAAUCGAAAACAGUAAAUAAAAUAUAAAUAAAAGGAGAAGGGCCUAUUCUACUUGGCACUUUGGCCCAAGUAGCCAAAUGGCCGGCCCAGCCCACCUCCCCUCUCCUUCAACCUACUACAGGGAGACAGGGGAUCGUGGCGCCCAUCCGUUGGCCAUGUCGUGCGUGGCGGCCAUCCCCCGCCUCCCCGAUGGCUACAAGGGCACCCCAAGCCCCUCCUCUCUCCCCGGUUGAACCCUAGCCACCACUACUCCCCCCCCUCGCGUCGUUGCUUGCUCCCGUGCACACACCCAAAGCUACCGUCGUUGUGCCAUCGUCACCGUCGGGGCCAUCGUUGCCGCCUUCGCGCGGGAGGACGUCCAGGAGGAUCGCGGCCGUUGGAUUCAUCCGUACCGGGCAUCAGCUCAAGCCGACAUGGCUCGUGUGCUCGCCAUUGCCAUCUUCGUCGUCGUGUACAUCGCCAGCCGCCGACGUUGAUUCCCACCGCUUCGGUCCAUCCUCGGCUUCCUUGUCUGCACACCCGAGCUCGCUGUGAGGUCCUCUUCCAAAACCCCCUCUCCCCCUUUCGUUUUCGACGCCGUAGGCUACCGUCUUCGUCGUGCCUCACUGUCGUGCGCCCACGCAUGCUGAACUGCAACCGCCGCACGCCCACGACCACCCGAUGCUGCUUGCUGCUACUUUCGCCGGCGCAGCCUCUUGCUGCCACCGCUGCUGCAUCCUCCCCCUUUCUCUGCUAUGCCCGCAGCUCACCGCUCCGCCCGUGACCUCCCGUAGCCGUGCCGGUGCGCCCUGCCCGCCGCGCCAGGACCUCCGUUGUCGCACGUGUCCGCGUGUACGCGCGUCCGUCGCGCCUCACGCACCCGCCUGCUGCUGCCGCAGCCUCGACCCCGCCCGCUCUCCCGCUGCUGCCGCUCUGCUGCUGUUGCGAGCCGCUAUUGCUGCUUCUUGUUGCUGCCGCCGCGCGCCGCUGCCGUCCCGUACCGCGUCUUCCCUCGCCCGGCCACGCGGUCGCCGGACACCACUGCCCUGUCGCCCACUGACUGCCGCCCUCGCUCGUGCCCACCCCGCGUCGGCGCAUCGCUCGCCCGCGUGCCUCAUCACGGCCCCGCAACACGUGCACGCCGUGCAGCGCCGCGCUCUGCGCCCAGCUUGUGUGCCUGUCGUUGCUGCUCUACUGAGGAGGUGUUUGUUUCGUCAAAUUCUGCCCGUCACCUGUUUAUAGUGUAAACGGAUACCCUUACGGGCGUUUGGUGAGACACCUCCGUAACCACGUUCCUCUAUAAUCAGUUCCAGGUCAGUUAUUGAACGAUACCCCCCACCCCCCACCGGUAAAGGCUUCCUUACCGCCCCCGACUCCGCUCUUCCUCGCGACUCGCUCCUCCCCUCGAUCUGUCUGCACCGCCGCCUCCCUUCGAGUCCCGCGCCGCUGCGCCACCGCCCCGCCGCCUCCCUUCCAGUCCAGCGCCGCCGCGCCACCACCUCCCCUCGACCCCCUUCGGUCCUCUCCUCCUAGUCCAGCCGCCGGGUUGACCUCACCACACCAGUCGCCGGGAACGACCACGCCAGCCGCCUCCGAUGCCGGUGAGGGUGGACCAUUGAAGCCGCGUACGAGGAGCAGCAAGGCCCAUCCGCCCAUCUCCGGAUCGAUCUCUUCCUCCUCCGUCACUCUCCUACUACAGAUCUCAAGAUGAGAAAAUAAGCAAGGUUCAUUAGAAAAUGGGAUCAGUGGUGUGGCGUGGAAGAUGAAGAUCAAUGGAAAAGCAAAGCUUCUUUGCAAGAUUGUGAACUUGGCCUUUCUAUUUAUCCUAUAAUAUAAAAACAAUUUUAGGGACUAAUUAUGUAGUUUAUUUCGAAGUGUCGUUGAAUUCCGAGUUCGUAUCCUUUUCAUUUUAAAAAUGUGUAAUCGUUAAAGUGGAGCCAAAUUCUGGUUAAAAGAUGUCUUUGCAUUGGAUGAAUGCAAAAAUAUUUCUAAAUUAUGUGCU